GUGAGCUCAGUCAGUGUGAACGACAGUGGCCUCUACAGCUGCACCGCACACAACCAGGUCGGACAAGGAACGUCUCCACCAGCUGAAGUUCAAGUCAUGUUUGGUCCAAAGCAGGCUGUGGUGCUGAGAGCAGAGGAGGAGCAGAGCCCUGAUGGGAGCAGCUCAGUGACUCUGAGCUGCAGCAGCCACAGCUUCCCCCCGGUCAACCUCUACACCUGGUACAGGAGGACGGAGGACGGAGCGCUCAAAGUGUCUGAGCACAUCAACUACACUGUGCUGUCCACACAGCCCGGAGUCUACUACUGCACUGCCAAGAACCAGAUCAGUGAGAGCACGUCUGAGACAGUCAGCCUCUUUCUACAGCGAGACUUUGUGAAGUACAUUUUCCUGGCUCUGGUGCCUCUGCUGAUUAUCUUAUGUGUGUUCAUUGUUUACAGACUCAAAAUAAAGAGGUCAGUUGAAGAGGAAACAACAAAAAAGUC
ensembl:lncRNA